GAUGAACGCUGGCGGCGUGCCUAAUACAUGCAAGUCGAGCGAACGGACGAGAAGCUUGCUUCUCUGAUGUUAGCGGCGGACGGGUGAGUAACACGUGGAUAACCUACCUAUAAGACUGGGAUAACUUCGGGAAACCGUAGCUAAUACCGGAUAAUAUUUUGAACCGCAUGGUUCAAAAGUGAAAGACGGUCUUGCUGUCACUUAUAGAUGGAUCCGCGCUGCAUUAGCUAGUUGGUAAGGUAACGGCUUACCAAGGCAACGAUGCAUAGCCGACCUGAGAGGGUGAUCGGCCACACUGGAACUGAGACACGGUCCCGACUCCUACGGGAGGCAGCAGUAGGGAAUCUUCCGCAAUGGGCGAAAGCCUGACGGAGCAACGCCGCGGGAGUGAUGAAGGUCUUCGGAUCGUAAAACUCUGUUAUUAGGGAAGAACAUAUGUGUAAGUAACUGUGCACAUCUUGACGGUACCUAAUCAGAAAGCCACGGCUAACUACGUG
rnacentral:rRNA from 1 species